GCCCUGAUUAUCUCAGCUAGUAGAACAUUAAAUUCUUAAUCUCAGGGUCAUGGGUUUGAACCCCACACUGGGCA